rnacentral:rRNA from 1 species
GACGAACGCUGGCGGCGUGCCUAAUACAUGCAAGUAGAACGCAGUUGCGAACGGGUGAGUAACGCGUAGGUAACUGCCUCAUAGCGGGGGAAAACUAUUGGAAACGAUAGCUAAUACCGCAUACUGUGAGAUGGACCUGCGUUGUAUUAGCUAGUUGGUGAGGUAAAGGCUCACCAAGGCGACGAUACAUAGCCGACCUGAGCGGGGGAUCGUGCACAAUGGGACAGGGACACGGCCAAGACUCCGACGGGAGGCAGAAGUAGGGGAUCGUCGGCAAUGGACGGAAGUCUGAUCGAGCAAUGCCGCGUGAGUGAAGAAGGUUGUCGGAUACUAAAGCUCUGUUGUUCGAGGAGCGUUAACUAGCCAGAAAGGGACGGCUAACUACGUUCCAGGAGCCGCGGUAAUAC